UACGUAGGUGGCAAGCGUUGUCCGGAAUUAUUGGGCGUAAAGCGCUCGCAGGCGGUUCCUUAAGUCUGAUGUGAAAUCUUGCAGCUUAACUGCAAGCGGUCAUUGGAAACUGGGGGACUUGAGUACAGAAGAGGAGAGCGGAAUUCCACGUGUAGCGGUGAAAUGCGUAGAGAUGUGGAGGAACACCAGUGGCGAAGGCGGCUCUCUAGUCUGUAACUGACGCUCAGGAGCGAAAGCGUGGGUAGCGAACAGGAUUA
rnacentral:rRNA from 1 species